UACGGGGGGGGUAAGCGUUGUUCGGAAUUACUGGGCGUAAAGGGCUCGUAGGCGGCCAACUAAGUCAUACGUGAAAUCCCUCAGCUUAACUGGGGAACUGCGUGUGAUACUGGAUGGCUUGGAUUUGGGAGAGGGAUGCGGAAUUCCAGGUGUAGCGGUGAAAUGCGUAGAUAUCUGGAGGAACACCGGUGGCGAAGGCGGCAUCCUGGACCAACAUUGACGCUGAGGAGCGAAAGCUAGGGGAGCAAACGGG
rnacentral:rRNA from 1 species